rnacentral:lncRNA from 1 species
UUUAUUCUCUCUCCCACUCUCUCCCUGCACCUAUUUUCUCUCCAUUAUUCCCUAAUUUUGUUCUUCUUCCAUCCUCUUAACGGUCUGAAAUUCAUCUUCUUUCGUGUGCUCUUACUGAAUCGUCCAUUAUUAGGACCAAGAAAACCAGAGCAUCUGAACCGCGCAAUUUCUCUCUCUGUUCUUGUGGAUGACCGAAGAUAACUAGAUAAGUUCAUCCGUCACAUAUCUGAACAUGCUGGAACAAAUCAAAGUAUAAAAUGUGUUGGGGAUUUGAAUUAUGAAGAAAUUGAAGAAACAAGUAUGUUCCAUUUAUAUAUUAUAUAUAUUUCAGAUUUUCCUUCAAAUUUCCGUCUUGUUAAACUUGUAUUCAUAUAUUUAUACCCUUUGUUUUGUAAUUUUUUGAACACUUUCAUAUAAGCCAAGUAUAUCAUUUCAUUCUUGCAGGGUUCAUUUCAUCGUGUUUACCGCCAAAGCUCUCAUUGAAGCAGACUGCAUUCUCUGUUUCACAAUGCAAUUAGAAUAUAAUUUGGUGUACUAUUUUGUUAUGAACAAUCUGAUUUUGGAUCUGUAGAUGGCUAAUGUACUUUUCAGUUUUCAUUUGUCAUGUAUUGUAUUGAAACUCAUCCCAAAAUAGCCAAGGACUGCAUUCCAUUUUAGUUGGACAAAUUGCACCCAUUCAAUGACUAGAACUGAAAGUGAUUUCCCAUUUC